rfam:Gossypium arboreum cultivar AKA8401 contig_561_11, whole genome shotgun sequence.
UGGUGUGAUCAUAUCAACACUAAUACAUCGGAUUUCAUCAAAACUCUACAGAUAAAUGUAUUUGGACGAGGAUAGUAUUAAGAUGAGUGACAAUAUACGAAGUUCUCGUGUUGUACCUC